GACGAACGCUGGCGGCGUGCUUAACACAUGCAAGUCGAACGGAAAGGCCCUGCUUUUGUGGGGUGCUCGAGUGGCGAACGGGUGAGUAACACGUGAGUAACCUGCCCUUGACUUUGGGAUAACUUCAGGAAACUGGGGCUAAUACCGGAUAGGAGCUCCUGCUGCAUGGUGGGGGUUGGAAAGUUUCGGCGGUUGGGGAUGGACUCGCGGCUUAUCAGCUUGUUGGUGGGGUAGUGGCUUACCAAGGCUUUGACGGGUAGCCGGCCUGAGAGGGUGACCGGCCACAUUGGGACUGAGAUACGGCCCAGAUUCCUACGGGAGGCAGCAGUGGGGAAUAUUGCACAAUGGGCGGAAGCCUGAUGCAGCAACGCCGCGUGCGGGAUGACGGCCUUCGGGUUGUAAACCGCUUUCGCCUGUGACGAAGCGUGAGUGACGGUAAUGGGGAAAGAAGCACCGGCUAACUACGC
rnacentral:rRNA from 1 species